rnacentral:rRNA from 1 species
UACGGGGGGGGCAAGCGUUGCUCGGAAUUACUGGGCGUAAAGGGCUCGUAGGCGGCCAACUAAGUCAGACGUGAAAUCCCUCGGCUUAACCGGGGAACUGCGUCUGAUACUGGAUGGCUUGAGUUCGGGAGAGGGAUGCGGAAUUCCAGGUGUAGCGGUGAAAUGCGUAGAUAUCUGGAGGAACACCGGUGGCGAAGGCGGCAUCCUGGACCGACACUGACGCUGAGGAGCGAAAGCCAGGGGAGCAAACGGG